rnacentral:rRNA from 1 species
GACGAACGCUGGCGGCGUGCUUAACACAUGCAAGUCGAACGGAAAGGCCCUGCUUUUGUGGGGUGCUCGAGUGGCGAACGGGUGAGUAACACGUGAGUAACCUGCCCUUGACUUUGGGAUAACUUCAGGAAACUGGGGCUAAUACCGGAUAGGAGCUCCUGCUGCAUGGUGGGGGUUGGAAAGUUUCGGCGGUUGGGGCUGGACUCGCGGCUUAUCAGCUUGUUGGUGGGGUAGUGGCUUACCAAGGCUUUGACGGGUAGCCGGCCUGAGAGGGUGGCCGGCCACAUGGGGACUGAGAUACGGCCCAGACUCCUACGGGAGGCAGCAGUGGGGAAUAUUGCACAAUGGGCGGAAGCCUGAUGCAGCAACGCCGCGUGCGGGAUGACGGCCUUCGGGUUGUAAACCGCUUUCGCCUGUGACGAAGCGUGAGUGACGGUAAUGGGUAAAGAAGCACCGGCUAACUACGUG